UUGCAAACUUUGUUAUUUUCCUUGUUUUUCAUUUACCGCGUCUAGAUUAAGAAACUAUGGCUUUCUAACUCAAAUAAAAAUUGCAAUUCCUGCCUAUCUUAGACCUAACAUUAACUUAUUAAUUGAACAGGUGUUUUAGAUUGUAAAUUUCAUCCGAGGCAGCCAUGGCUAUUCACAGCUGGAGCAGAUUCUACCAUUAAACUGUAUUGCCACUAAUGAUAGAUUCUCCAGGAAACUUUGAAGAAUCUCCUCGAGUCAAGAUACGUUGUGACAAAAAUUGAUUGGCAUCGGAAAGGAGACUAUUUCACUACUGUCGUUCCUAGUGAUAUCCUAAUUAUGAAUUUUAGUUGUACUUAUUUUUAGUCAUUCCUAGUGCCUAUUUUAUUCCUAGUCACCUUAUUUCAAUGACAAGAACAAGGGUUCUCAUGGCCAAUAUGUGUCUAUUAAUGGGAUUUUCAAUGUCUUGCUUACCACGCUAAUCCUACUUCUGAUUGGAUUUGCAGCUUCAAGAUAUCAAACUCUACACCUUCUAUAUGGAGCUAGAUUUGCAAAAGCCAUAUCCAACUCGAGGAAGUGACUUAUUGACAUGGGAGAGAACUUAUUGGUAACCAAGGACUUUGUGAAGAUAGCAAAUUUUGGCCUUGCUCGUGAAGUUCAUUCGAAGCCACCAUUCACAUAAUAGGUUUCAACACGCUGUUUACAAAUCUCAAGUACUCCAGAGUUGAAAUUGAUG